CAGCUGGGUUAGUCGCCGAGGCUGCGCCGAUCGCUAGGCCGAAACCUAAUCAGGAGCUGAUCUUUGAUGGCAGCCUCUGGAGGGACAAAGAAGGCGCAGAGCUGCGGGAGUUGGGCGCGACAGCCUGGCGCCCGCCCCGACCAACGUGCGAGACUAAGGACCUCAACUGUUAGGCAGAAGGAACGAAUGUACCGUUGAUAUGGACAGACUGCAAGAAGGGAGGGACUGCAAGAAGGGGAGCUUCUCUCCACCCCACAGUACACGCACAUUCCAUUGAUCUUAACUUGAUUCUGGCUCCGAGGGACACAUACCUGCCCUUAGCACGACUAGUUCUUUCUCCAUUUCUAGCAGCAAGAAGGACGACUGUCAAAGCCCAGAGCCUGCCCAAGGUGAGGCCUCUGUUAAGAGACCUUCCACCAGGAGCCUCGCCUAAGACCCACACAGCUGCUAUCUCAGGGGAAUGGUGAACCAAAGUGAAUCUGACUUCUCCUGGAGACUUCUAGGAAACUUAGCCUUAUUUUUUAAGUCCCUGAAAAUUUGUAUCUGUGAAUCAGCCCUGGCAUGGACUGUACCCCAAAUUCAUACCCUAGUGAUCAAGUAAUCUUAAAUAGUGAAUUUAGUUUAAAAUAUUCUUAGACUACUGAGACCCCCUGAGCACCUGGCAAAAGCAAACACAGAUUCUCUGUGGAAGAAUGUACCUGUGUGCUACUCAUUGUCCCUAUAAAUUUAUUUGUGGAGAUUCUUUGACGUGUGUGUGUGUGUGUGUGUGUGUGUGUGUGUGUCUGUACAUAUAAAUAUAUACAGUACACACAAACACACAUCGAACCCAAGAACUAGCACGCAACAGGUAGCAGAAACCAUCCACAAAGACCUCAGCUAUGGAAGUUAGCCAACACAUCGUAAAGCUACUACUACACUAUGACUUUAAAAAAAGAGUGAUGAAACAAUUUUAUUUUAAAAUCUCAAUUUUUAAACUGGAAUUACAUUCUUUGCCACCAUUUAAACAUAAAAUAUGAAAUUGUAUUCAUCAGGAAACAAAGAUGUGCAAUGCAUAAUUUUUUAGGUUGCACGCAAGCAAAAUCUUCAGAGAACUGUGUGCUUUUCCAUGGGUGAGGGCAUGGUUGUCUUUAGGCAUAUGAGCAUCUGUGGCCUCUGGGUUCCCAAUGACAGAGGCCUCAUUUCAUGUACCAGUGUCUCCCUGAGGCCAACACAGGCCUUGACACAUAGUCGGGUGUCACUAAAUUUUGGAUAAAUUAGUAAUGUAUCGUUUUCCAGGAGAUACUUUAUGUCACUGAAAUCUGAAAUAGCAACAUGUGUGUGAAUGCUUUUCUUAGGAAGAGACAAAUUCUACAAUAGCUGAAAAAUUGAUUCAGUAACAGGCUUAGUGUGUCUAUACUCUUAUUAUAUUGGGAUUUCGUGGUUAUAAUAAAUUCAUUUUCAGUACUUCAUGCAAAUAUGCUCAACAGUGAUAUAUACUGAGAUCAAAUAAUCAAAAUAGAGCACCAUGUGUUUCUCAUACAAUAUUCACAUAAAAAUUACUUACAAUUUAACCCAAAUUGCCACUGAAAUGAAGGCCUUGAAGACCACAGUUGUUCUUUUCUCCAAACUUUUGUUAUAAACAUUUGGAAAUAUUCAGAAAAGCUAAAGGAUUAAUAUAAUGAACACCUGCUUGCUCAACCUAGAUUCAACAAUUGUUUAGCCAUAUUUAUUUCAAUGAUAUUCAUUUCUGUAUCAUUUGGAAAUAUAUAUAUAAUAUCAUAAUAUUUCUAUAUAUAUGUAUGUAGUUCUCUUUUGUUUUGAAACAGUUUUGCUCUAUUGCCUAGGCUAGAGUGCAAUAGUGGGAUCUCAGCUCACUGCCACCUGUGCCUCCUAGGCUCAAGUGCUUCUGGUGCCUCAGCCUCCCAAGUAGCUGGAAUUAUAGAUGUGCACCACCACACCUGGCUAACUUUCAUAUUUUUAGUAGAGAUGGGGUUUCACCAUGUUAGCUAGGCUGAUAGCAAACUCUUCAGUUCAAGUAAUCCUCCUGCCUUGGCCUCCCAAAGUGCUGGGAUUACAGGCACAAGCCACCGACCUCGGCCAAAAUAUAUAUAUUUGAACAUCUUUGCCCCUAAAUACUUUAGCAUGUAUCUCCUAAGGUUAGAAUAAUCUCCUUGAAAACCAUUUCCACAUCAUAAUAACAUAUAGACUCUAAAGUUUCUUAACAAAGGUCCAAUCUGGUUUCCUGUAUUGCCACUGGUUUAGUCUCUGUAGUCCAUCUCCUUUAGUCUAGAAUGGUCCCUGUACCUUUUGUUUUCCAAUGACAAUGCCUUUCGGAAGUCCACAGAACAAUU
ensembl:lincRNA